UACGUAGGGUGCACGCGUUGUCCGGAAUUAUUGGGCGUAAAGAGCUCGUAGGCGGCUUGUCACGUCGGGUGUGAAAGCCCGGGGCUUAACCCCGGGUCUGCAUUCGAUACGGGCUGGCUAGAGUGUGGUAGGGGAGAUCGGAAUUCCUGGUGUAGCGGUGAAAUGCGCAGAUAUCAGGAGGAACACCGGUGGCGAAGGCGGAUCUCUGGGCCAUUACUGACGCUGAGGAGCGAAAGCGUGGGGAGCGAACAGG
rnacentral:rRNA from 1 species